UACGUAGGUGGCAAGCGUUGUCCGGAAUUACUGGGCGUAAAGGGCGCGUAGGCGGCCUUCUAAGUCGAACGUGAAAUCCCCGGGCUCAACCCGGGAACUGCGUCCGAUACUGGAAGGCUUGAAUCCGGGAGAGGGAUGCGGAAUUCCGGGUGUAGCGGUGAAAUGCGCAGAUAUCCGGAGGAACACCGGUGGCGAAGGCGGCUUCCUGGACCGACACUGACGCUGAGGCGCGAAAGCUAGGGGAGCAAACGGG
rnacentral:rRNA from 1 species